CCCAGCCAAGAUCUGGACUGAGGAGAUCCAGAUUCUUCUUCAUACUUGAAAGAGCCACCCCUGCCAGUGGGCCCUAUGGGAUGAAGCCACUUGGCAUCUGAUGAGUAACUGUCCUUACCGGAGGAAAGAGAAGGCUUGGGCCACUUUGAUUCCACCCCCCAUACCCACAGGCAGGCUGCUGCUAUUGCGCCCGUAGGAAACCACCCUCAAAUCAGCC
rnacentral:lncRNA from 1 species